CAAAUUCCCAUCCUGUAUCACCUUGCGGGAUGAGGCCCCACAGUCCUUGCUUUUAGAGAACAUUUGAUCCAAAGGGUAAACUGGUGGCUAACCCAUUAUCAAUGUUGUCUCUGCUCAGGUUAGGCAACAAGAAAGAAAGUAAAGACCCAGAUGGCCUGGAGUGGGGCAGGAGGGAGAAGGUGGAAAGCCUGCCCAGAAGAAUUGAUCCUUUAUCACCAAACACAGCCCCUGCAUCCACAUGCUCACUGACAGUGCCGUGAGAAAGAUCAGCAAAUUUAAAAAAGAAAACCUGACUGUGGGAAUAUGGAAGACUAUGGGACUGUGGGAGAAUGUCGUGAUCCAUGCAAGCUCACUGCUGGUCCUGAGGUGGGUUGGGUCAGUAUGUGGUCGCUGAGCUGUGUGACUAUAUUUGUUUUCUAGGGAGCUGGGUGGCUUAAAACAACAGAACUUCUUUGUCUUCCAGUUCCAGAGGCCAGAAGUCCCAAAUCAAGGUGUUGGCAGAGCCACAGUCUCUCUGAAGACUUUAGCAGGUGAUCUUUCUUGCUUCUGCUGUGGCAGCCCUUGGUGUCACUUCAUUUAUACAUGCUUCAUUCCAAUUUCUGCCUCUGUCUUCACAUGGCAUUCUCCUCUGUGUGUCUGCAUCCAGAUUUCCCUUUUCUUAUAAGAACCUCAGUCAUUGGACUAGGGUAUACCCUAAUCCAGCAUGACUUCAUUUUAACUUGAUUAUAUUUGCAAAUACCUUUUUUCUAAAUAAGGUACCCAGGGUUAGGACUUUAACAUAUCUUUUUUGGGGACAGAAUUCAACCCCCAACACUGACAGAGCAGAAAGAAAAUGUGACCAGUUCUAUUCACCAUGCUGCCAAGUGACCAUGGGUGAAACCCCUGGAAUCCUGGAUACUCAAAAGGCGUUCUCCAGACCAGCAGAAUCAAACAUUACCUGAGCCUUAAUUCAAUAUACAGAAUUUCAAGCCCCAUUCCAGAUGUACUGAAUCAGAACCUGUACGUUAACAAGAUCCCCAGGUGAUUUGUAUCCACAUCAAAUUGGGCUGAGCACCGCCUAAGAACAGUGGUUCUCAAAGUGUGGGUUUCACCUGUGAUAAAAGAAAAACUUCAGCUGAAUUAAAUUUAAAGGAGUUUAAUUGAGCAAUGAACUAUUCGUGAGUCGGGCAGCCCCCAGAAUCACAGCAGAUUCGCAGAGACUCCAGUGCAGCCAUGUGGUGGAAGAAGACUUACAGACGAAAAAAAGGAAUUGACAUACAG
rnacentral:lncRNA from 1 species